rnacentral:rRNA from 1 species
UACGAAGGGGGCUAGCGUUGCUCGGAAUUACUGGGCGUAAAGCGUGCGUAGACGGUAGCGUAAUCCGAUGUGAAAGCCCCGGGCUCAACCUGGGAAUUGCAUUUGAGACUGCUCUGCUCGGGUGCGGAAGAGGGAAGCGGAAUUUCCGGUGUAGCGGUGAAAUGCGUAGAUAUCGGAAGGAACACCAGUGGCGAAAGCGGCUUCCUGGUCCGACACCGACGUUCAGGCACGAAAGCGUGGGGAGCAAACAGG